UUUUAAGAGUGUGGCAAGAAAAAAAAUAAUUUUUUUUUGAAUCACAAUCUUUAACAAUCAGAUCCCUUUUUUUUCAAUUUUUUUCUUAUACCCUUUUUUUUCGAAUUUUUUUAUAAUGAUAAAUGGAUAAUAAUGAAGAACAAGAAUAUAGACAAUUUACCAUAUUUCGACCCUUUUUUUUUGGAAUAUGCUCUGAUUACCACUUGAUAUGC
rnacentral:lncRNA from 1 species